AGGGUAAUGGCUCAGUGGCAGAGCACAUUCUUAGCAUGCAUGAGGUCCUGGGCUCAAUUCCCAGUACCUCCA
rnacentral:tRNA from 1 species